rnacentral:miRNA from 1 species
CUGGCCCUGGUGGCCCGGGGUUGCCUGGCGAUCAUGGGCUGGGGGGCGGGGGGGGGGGGGG